GGAGAUUGCAGAGGAGGAGGAUGACAGUGACUAAACUUCUUAACUCAUUAUGUUCUUUUCUGCCUGCACUCCCCUGCCCUGGACAGUGGGAUGUACAAACCCCACACUGGGCAACAAAGAGCUUGGGGACCAGCACCCCUCCCUUAUCUAUGCUCACUGCAAUGGCCAUGGACAGGAGCUUCUCUACCUGGAUCCAAGCUGGUGUAAGAGAGGGCUGGGGUUCUUCUCUCUCCCUGGGACAGCCUGCAUCCUGGACCCCACAUCCCUGACUACAUCCCAUAACAAUGAUUUGAAUGGAGAGAAACAAAACUCUUUUUAGUUAAGGACCCAAGCAAUGCCAGAUAUUCUUCAAUAAAAAUUUCAUCUCUUUUCAUCAAAUCAAAAGCUGCCUGCUUAGAAACGUAUUCUAAAGAGGUACUGCCAGGUACAUUUUAUAGUUAUUAAUUUUGUUUUCUACUCUUCAUUAUUUAUGAUACUGUCUUAAAAGCUUGCAAAUAACAUUUCUACCCUGGCUGUUUUUUGUCUUUUUGGUAAUCAUUGAUUUCUCUCUUUUUCACCUCUGUUGUUCCUGGAACUCACACCACAUGAUUUCCACUUUAUUAAAUUCUCUGGUAUGUGGUCUGA